AUUGAACGCUGGCGGCAGGCCUAACACAUGCAAGUCGAACGAGUGGCGGACGGGUGAGUAAUGUCUGGGAAACUGCCUGCUGGAGGGGGAUAACUACUGGAAACGGUAGCUAAUACCGCAUAUCAUCGGAUGUGCCCAGAUGGGAUCAGCUAGUAGGUGGGGUAAAGGCUCAUCUAGGCGACGAUCCCUAGCUAGUCUGAGAGGAUGACCAGCGACACAGGAACUGAGGCACGGUCCAGACUCCUACGGGAGGCAGCAGUGGGGAAUAUUGCACAAUGGGCGCAAGCCUGAUGCAGCCAUGCCGCGUGUAUGAAGAAGGCCUUCGAGUUGUAAAGUACUUUCAGCGGGGAGGCGUUACCCACAGAAGAAGCACCAGCUAACACCGAGCCAGCCGCCGCGGUAAUUC
rnacentral:rRNA from 1 species